GACGUAGGGCGCAAGCGUUGUCCGGAUUUAUUGGGCGUAAAGAGCUCGUAGGCGGCUUGUUGCGUCGUCCGUGAAAACCCGCAGCUCAACUGCGGGCUUGCGGACGAUACGGGCAGGCUAGAGUUCGGUAGGGGAGACUGGAAUUCCUGGUGUAGCGGUGAAAUGCGCAGAUAUCAGGAGGAACACCGGUGGCGAAGGCGGGUCUCUGGGCCGAUACUGACGCUGAGGCACGAAAGCUAGGGGAGCAAACAGG
rnacentral:rRNA from 1 species